GAAAUGCACAGGAAAACUCACCACUAACCAGGAAAACUCAAGAUUGGCAUGGCUUUAUGGCUGACUUUUCUGUAUUUUUAUUAUUUUGUGGCUGACAAAGCUCACGAUUAUGAGCAUAAUCAUAUUUAUAAAAAGAGAUAUCAUGUAGUGGGAAGAAUUGACAUAUGAUUACAGAUUCCUUUCUGGUCUUAAUAUGAUGUGCAUUCUGUUUCCAUUUUCUGUAGUAUUUAAGCUGGUUUCUUUUGUGUUUCACCUACAGAUUUUUUUCGAUAGAUGAACAACUUGCUUGCUAUUACAGAUUCCCAAGAUGCCGUGGGGUUGUCAAUGACAUUGAAGCAAAGGAACCUGCCAUCUGACUAUACCUUUUGCUGAUAUUGUUGGAGAGUAAAUUAGAGAUGGUUUUGCAAGGCAGAUAAAUAAUCACUUUGGGAAUUGGGAAAAACAUGCAAGACAGAUAAAUAAUCAUUUUUUUGGGUUUCUUCUUCUUUUUUGUAUUUUCAAUGUAAUGGGCCCCAAUUAACCCAAUCAUAUUUGAUGCGUUUUCUAGUAGGGCCCAUUUGGAUGAUUUUCCUGUUAUUCGUGUUUUAACACCUUUUUUGCACUGAUUUUUUGAAUCAAUUUUUUCUUAUCUUUUUUAUUUUUAUUGUAAACGAUACAUGAUUAGGUUGCUUGUGCUCAUGCUUGAAGGAGUAAGGAAAGAAAAGUUGAUUCGGGCAUCUUUGGACAUUUUUGGGCAUUUUGUGCCUUUUUUAAAAAUUUAUUGUGGUUUACUCUUUAUCCUGAUUAGGUUGCUUGUGCUCAUGCUUGAAAUUAUUAUAAGCAUAUUUUUUAUGACGACAUAUAUGUAACUUGUUUAUAUAUAAGCAUGUAUUUAUUGUCUUUUUAAAAAUUUGUUGGUUUUUUUUUUCACUUUUUUCUUUUGUUUUUGCUGUUUAAGGUCAGACAGGUCAGGCUAACAGAAACCAUUAAUGCCCCAUCAAAUGUAUGCCACAAAAUACGAAUGAUACACUCAUGUUUUCCUUUUUUACUACAUAUGUCUUUUUACCACAGAAACCAUCAGAAAUAGCUAUUUACUAUAUAUAAAUGGGAUUGAAUGCCUACUGUUGACAAUCACUUGGGGAAAGCAGUUGGUAGCUUAUUGCAGGUCUACUGCAAUGUGUUUUAAGGUGUAGCAGGGGAAGUUGCUUUGACUUCAGGUGGUGGAUUAGAGAAGCUAUCUUUAUUAACUGAUGACUAUGAAGAGGUUGCAAUGGUGCAUCAUAAGAAUACAAUUCUGGUCAAUCUUAGGAUCUCAACAAAAUGGACCUAUCUACACAAGGCAGUUGGGCCAUUCCACGAAUGUAAAGUGGGCCAAGCACAGGCUAAGGUUUGACCCAUUUUCUAUUUGGGGCAGAGUGGAAAACAUAACCUGCCUUUAUGCAGGCUGCCAUUUCCCACUUUUGAUGCUACAAAUCACAACUGAGAUAAGAACAAGAAGGUCCUAUUCUUAUCUCACUUGUGAGUUGGACACAACCACCUGCCAUGAGAUAUUGAUGGGUUAAUUGACAUUGGGGUAAUUAUUCCAAUGUAAUUAGCAGUCCUUGUGUUUUGCUUGAGUUGGACACAACACACCUAUAUAUAUUGAUUUUUAUUUAUGUUUUAUUUUAUUUCUGGCUUUCUUUUUAAGAAAAAUCUUGAUUUGGAAUUUCUUUUUCUUUAGAAGAAAAUUCUGUGUUUGUAGUAAAUUUCAGAAGCAGAACUGAUGCAUGCCCAAAAUCAGGUAUGCAGUAAAAUUUGGUUAGUUGUUCAAGGUUUGUGUAAGAGUAAUAAAAUUCAUGCCAUUAUAUAUGUAUCUUGUCAUGUAUCGGCUAGGGUGGUAACUGACUGAGCAUCAGGAUAUUUAAAGGGCUUUAGGUUUGUCACAUGCCCUAUGAUUGAAGAGAUGGAGCGGGGCAUAAAGGGAAUGGAUGGUCAGCUACAUCACUGACUAUGAAGAGGUUGCAAUGGUAAUAUAGAUGCUGUAGUAUCGCAUCCUCUACUUUGUGGAAUGAUAGGGUGCUAUGCUUUUCAUCAAAUCUAAGG